rnacentral:rRNA from 1 species
UACGUAGGGCGCAAGCGUUGUCCGGAAUUAUUGGGCGUAAAGAGCUCGUAGGCGGCUUGUCACGUCGGAUGUGAAAGCCCGGGGCUUAACCCCGGGUCUGCAUUCGAUACGGGCAGGCUAGAGUGUGGUAGGGGAGAUCGGAAUUCCUGGUGUAGCGGUGAAAUGCGCAGAUAUCAGGAGGAACACCGAUGGCGAAGGCAGUUCUCUGGGCCGUAACUGACGCUGAGGAGCGAAAGCGUGGGGAGCGAACAGG